CAGAAAUGUGUCGGUGAAAAUCUACUGGGGUGGAGAGAGAGCGAAGUUGUAUGAUCGCGUGCUGAAGCUGUAUGCAGUGAUUUCUUUGAUGCAUCAUUACCUCAGUAGGCACGGAUAGACAUUUUAUUGAAACAUCUUUAGCACGGUAGACAGAAAAAUGUUAUUGAAACUUUAUUGAAUCCUUAACUCGGAUAGGUAUUCACACAAAAUCACUGAAACAUCCUUACUAUGCUAGAAUUUUUAAUGAAAUAACCCCAUCACGAUAAACACAAAAAUUUCUGUCAAACAUCGUCCCUUAGAUACGACCAGAAAUUGUCACUGCAUUAUGUGGGGGCGUGGGUGUGAGAUUGAGGAAAUCCUUAAGAAUAUCUCUCGAAGUGUGUUAACUCUAGACAGUGAAUUCAGAGCGCUGAACGACAAGAGAAAUACUUUCUUAUCAAAAACUUUUGUUUAUGAGUGCGAAGAAGAAGAGGAAGAAGAGGAAGCAGACGAAGGAGAGGAAGGAGAGGACACGAAGGUACCACUUCCGACGAAAAAGAAGGGUGCCAAAAAGAGACACGGAAAAAAAGGAAAAAGAAAAAAAGGAAAGAAAGAAAAAAAGGAGCUCGAAAUGACAGAGUGGCGUAGACAAAAGCUGCCGGUAUUCUCCACAAAACUAGUAUUUCCGCUAGUAAAUACUGUACCUCCUUUGAAUGAAACCAACAACGCAACAAAGGAAUGUGUCCCUGUGCCGAAGCACGCCAAACGUUCAAGUGUUUGUGAUUUUUCUCAGAGUAUAGUCUUGCCCGUGGUGAAAGUAGCAUCCUGUAAGAAACAAAUAAAGCAAAUGUUAACAAUGGAGCGGCCAGCUGAUGGGUUAGCAUCACUCUUACCUAAGGAAACUGCUCCGACUUCGUUUACAAGGACCUCAGUGCAUCCUUUUGCUUUGAAUCAUGAGGAUGUGGAGUCGGGUAUCAUGAUGAGCAGUUUGCCAUUCGACCAAUCAAACAAUGCCAGCUCUUCAGACGAUGAACGGGAAAUCUGCUGUAUUCAUCUGUCAAUGAAACCGGCAGAAACGACAACACCAGUAACGUACACUGCCUACCCUCUGUCAGAAGGGUUAACUAAGGACCAUCAGUCGAGACCCAACAACGCCUGUUCUCAAACCGACAAGACCGAAGAGGAAGUAGAUCAACUGACGUUUCUAGCCAAGAUGUCCAGCACAAUUAUCGAAACAUUUGCGCAGCAGACCCGUCUUCUGGAACAGCUGCGGAGGGAGAAAUGGUAUCCACGGCAGGUGAACAGCAGUAAUCCAGUGACCACGUUCAGCGCCCUCCUUGGGCUGCUGGUCCACGGUACGAAUCCUGACGUCAUUGCCCAGGUGUGUGGCUACCUUUUGAACCUGAAGAGACAUUUCUUCAUUCCAAAGUCGUUUCGGAUGAAGAGCGCCGCGCUGUUGCUGGGUGUCCUCAAGUCCAGUGACGACGUGCAGCUGCAGCGAGUUUGUUUGUACAGCUUUCCGCAGCUGACCCACCCGACACGUAACAUGCUGCUGGUGGUCGUUCCAGCCCUCGUUAAGUAUGAUCAAGACAUUUCACUGGAGACAAGCUGUGGACCCACUUAGGGGUUUGAGCGUCCGAGUCACAAGUACUAUGGCUGAACAAGGUCAAGUGGACACUGGAGACAGUCAACACUCUCAGGUCAGCAAUGAAGCGACUGUGGAAUUUCCUCAUGGUCGGACAGAAGAGACAGACAGAAAAUCUUCAGACGAGGAGCUCAGUGGUCUGCAGUACGAAACCCCUUUGUUUAUCACAGGAUAUUCAAAGACUAGCCACAAGCCUCCUGGUCCAAAAGAUACUUCAGCUGCUAGGACACCUUGUGCCAUCGGCAUCAAGAUGCUUCUUCUGCUCCGCCUUCGCACCAUUCGCAGACAAGUUUUACUCAUGGCACACAAGACCGAGUGUUGUCAGACGGAGGAAACCUUGACGGACGACGUGUUGCAGUGAACCCACUAGUUGUCACGAAGAAUGUGAACAUUCCCAGCUUUCCUUCUUUUGCGGUCUUUGGCUCGUCUUUUAAAAUAAGAAGGUACCUUCACAUAACAAGAAAGUCUUCUUACUUCAUAAUCAAAUCUCAUAAUAUCCCAAGAAAGUUGCCUGUCGUACCGGGCGAGUCUUCUCACAUCACGAGCGGAUGUUCCCAGGAAGCACGUGUGUCUUCUUUCAUAAUAAGAAGUCCGCCCGUCUGAGAGAAACACGACUCUACCCGUCUACCCGUAGCUACAACCAUGGCAAACAACGCCGACGCUGCCAGUUUCCCUUGAAGUUGUUCAGCACUGAGGUUCCAGAUAUUGGAAAUAGCAACGACUUGACUGAUGAACGUGUCAUUUAUGUCUGGGACUCGCUUCCGCCAGAAGAACAACUCCGCCCGUCUACCUGUGACCACGAGCAUGGUGAACAAUGCCCAUGCUGCCAGUUUCCCUUGAAGGUUACCGUUUCUAAGGUGCCCAGCACUGAGGUUCCAGAUCUUGGAGAAAGCAACAGCCUGACUGACAAAGCCGCAAGCGACGUUCCUAACAAGCCCUUGGAAAAUGGCGGCGCGAGUAAGAGAGCUCGUGAGGAACGAAUAAAACCGAGAGUUACAUCACAGCGUGCCAAAGGAGACAACUUUAGCCUGCUCCAACCUCUUCCCCAUGGCCUUUUGGUUUUUAACCCGACAAUGGAGAAAAGCUGUUCCGGUCGACUGAACAAAGGCUGUGUCUCGGUGCCAACAAGACAGCCCUUUCAACGCUUGCCAACUUUCACUAAUGCCCUAAAAAUUCCAGAUGCUGUGUCAGUGUCAAAGGGCCCUCGCGUUUUGUCAAGGCAUAUACUUGGCCCUGAACACCCGGUGUCGAUGGCCACUCCCCAGACAGUUGGUUUGUCGCCAGCUAAAGUCAGCCAGAGGAGGGUGCUGCUGCAAGGAAAAACGGAAACCCGCCCGCUGGGAGUGGUUCGUAACAGGAAAAAUCACACGAGCUUAACCAGAUUACCUAAUCCGCUUGAGACGAGCUUAACUAGAUUACCCCAGCCACAGGACAUGAGCUUAACUAGAUUACCCCAGCCACAGGACAUGAGCUUAACCAGAUUACCCCAGCCACAGGACAUGAGAUUAACCAGAUUACCCCAGCCACAGGGCAUGAGAUUAACCAGAUUACCCCAGCCACAGGACGUGAGAUUAACCAGAUUACUCCAGCCACAGGACAUGAGCUUAACCAGAUUACCUAAGCCGCAUAAGACGAGCUUAACAACAUUACCCAACCCACAGAACAUGGAUUUGACCUGGUUACGUAAAAUGCAGCAUCCAGGUUGGAUCAGGUCAACCAAACGGCGACUUAGGGGCUUAAACAAAGUUCCUAGCAUGGUACCCACGUGGUACCUUAUGCCUUCUGUACCUUAGCAUGGUACCGUAUGCCCGUUCUGCCUUAGUUCAGACGACCGUGACUGUUGCAGGACGGACCUCUUCCCGAGGAUGACGACGACUCUGAAAACAACACAUCAGCAAUACGACAACAGACGACACACCUCGCUGGGUAAGGGGGGAUUUGGGGGCGUGUGGCAGGUAGAGAGAAGAGGGUAUAGUCAUGUGAGAAUUGCUGAGCGUAUCCACGCUACCAAAACUGCCCAACUGCUUGUCCACGGCAUGAACUGGUGACUGUUUGAGCUUACUAACUGGAUGGUGCAGUGUGAGAUGAUCGUGCGCGGUGUCAGAUGAUCGUGACGAGGGCAGACUUGGGAUGGAUCCGAGAGGAGGACGAGAGUGCUGCUUUAGCUGACUGACAGUGACUUAGCCGUUUUACAAUUAGAACAUGUGAACUUUCUUUACAAAAAUCGCAAAUAGCGUUUGAUAUUCUUUUUCUGCAUAUAUCUUUGCAAACAUUUAUGAACAUGAACAUUCUUGUACACACAUACACAUAUAUGUGUGUGAGAUUACGUAUAUAGUUAUAUUAAAUCGCCUGACGGAUUGA